UCAGACGAUGCGUCAUGCAUAUCAAUAAGCGGAGGAAAAGAAACUAACAAGGAUUCCCCUAGUAACGGCGAGUGAAGCGGGAAGAGCUCAAAUUUGAAAUCUUAAAGGGUUUCCCUUUACGAAUUGUAGUUUAAAGAAGUGUUUUCUGUUGAGGUUUUGGUAAAAGUUCUUUGGAAUAGGACAUCAUAGAGGGUGAGAAUCCCGUAUUUGACCUUUACUUUCAACUUUGUGAUACACUUUCAAAGAGUCGGAUUGUUUGGGAAUGCAGUCCAAAAUGGGUGGUAAAUUUCAUCUAAGCUAAAUAUUGGCGAGAGACCGAUAGCGAACAAGUACCGUGAGGGAAAGAUGAAAAGAACUUUGAAAAGAGAGUUAAACAGUACGUGAAAUUGUCAAAAGGGAAGCGUUUGACACCAGUGUUGUUUUUCUGAAAAUCAAUUAAAGAACUGUUUAUGCUAAGCUGUUUAGACUUUAUCAGCUAUCUGUUUAGUUUUGAGCUUUUCUUUAAUGCACUUUUCAGUUAACAAGUCAACAUCAAUUUCUUUUGCUGUAAAAAAGCUUGAGGAAGGUGGCUUGAGAUUCGUCUUAAGUGUUUAUAGCCUCUUGCCUAUGCAGUCGGAGAGAUUGAGGUCUGCAGCGUAGAUCCUUCGGGGCUAAAUGCAUUUGUGCUAAGUUAUAGCAUUUCAUAGACAACUUGUUGACUAUGAUUUGUCUUGUAGCUUACUCGCUUAUGUUAUUUUACCUACGCUUAGGAUGUUGAAUCUGUGCGAGACUAC
rnacentral:rRNA from 1 species